UGUUUUGUUGUGUGAUACUUGGAUUUUCUCUUUAUCUAUCCUUACUAUUAUUACUACUUAGGCUAUUUGUGGAUAAAAGGAUUCUAUUAUAUAUAUAUAUAUAUAUAUGUAUAUAUAUUUUUCUUUUCGUGUGGUUUCCACGUAUGUUGUUGAGAAAACUAUUCAGCUAUACAAUUGUGUACUUAUAUAAUAGGACAUCGUUUGGGAUUUUAUAUUUGGAUAGUGAUAACUAAUAUAUAUGAAAAAUGCUUGUGAUAUUCAAAUUAAAUUUGAUGUUAUUAUCAUUUUGGUACAAAUAAAGUUGCAGUAAAUGUCAAUAUAGGAUUUGAAUUAUUUUUCAAACCUGCCUGCAUAUUUUUAUCUGGAGAUGGAAAUAAAAUAUUUUUUGAAAUAAAAAAAAAACAUAACAAGUAUGUUAAUACAAUUUUUUUGUCAACCCAAAAGAUUUCAGCAAGGAUUCAUGAAUAAACAUAUGAGAAAAUUAUAUAACACAACAUUUUAUAGAGACUCGUUAAAAAAAAAUGACUUAUGUUCACCUAGUCACUUUUAUUGAUAUUUAAGUUUGAAUAAUCAUAUAUUCUAGCAAAUUCGUAUUGCUAGUUGUUCUACAAUCCUCCUUCGCUUUAAUUACACAAGUAUUAUAUUUGAGUUGUGGGCGUAAGUUAUUAAAUUUGGCCCAAAAAUAAUAUAUUACACAAUUAUAAUUAAGUUGAUUUGGUUGUAUCUUGUGUAAAUAAUAAUUCUAUCUCCCGCUUCCAAUCUUGUUAGCGUUUGGUAGCAUAUCAUGUGCUAGCAGAAAUAAACUAACAAGGGUGUGUAAGGUAUCUCUGUUAGCGUGUUAUAACCUUCUCUAAGCGAACAAGAGUACAAAGACAUAAAUGAACGACCAAGAUUCUUCUAUUAGCAUUUAGAUGCCUAAUGUGUGAGAACAUGAUUAUUACAGGUCUUGAUCAUUUUUAUAUGAAGGAAACAUCGACCAAGUUUGAAAUCCCAAUCAUUAAUAUUCUUUGGAAUGUCAUUAUGUCAAAAAAAAUGGGUAAGUAAGUUUUCGUGCUUUGCAACUUCCCCAUUCAUUUUGGUUAUACACACAUGUGACCAUUACGCAAAUGGUAUUUCCUCUAGUAUUAAAACAACAACUUCUAAUUGUCUCAAAAGCAAUUUUACACUUUCCCACUCUUUUAGUGGACUUCAAGGGUUUUUCAUUGGAAUAUACCAAUCUUUUGGGCUGUCCUAAUUGGACCACACUUUUUAAGCUGGCUUUUGGUUGCAUUGCCUAACAAUUGGGUAAUUGGGCCAAUUUCUUUACAAAUUUUGAAGCCCAUUGUCAGGGGUCUCUUUGCUCACUAGGGAGAGGGAUAGGUGCAAGAUAGAGUAACCUGCAGUCAAUAUUGUUGUUCUGGAGAAAACUUGACGUUUCCUGAGGAAGAAAGAACACUGUCGAGGAAGAAGUGAUGCGCUAACCCCACCUACUUGCUCGCUAUUCUCUGUAAUCAUUCAGGCAUGAUUGAAUAAGGGCUCUUCAAGAAACUUAAAAAGAGUCAUGGUAAGGGUAAGGAGAAAGCCAACCAACCACGUGUGUAGCAGGCAUGAAGCGGCGUGUACAUGUUUGGCCAGCCUGGCUGCCACAGUCGGUGGAUUUUGGGAGAUGUUUGUAAACAACCCUAGAUUUUGUCGUUUAGUCGACUUGAUUCAGUUUGUAUGUUGUAAAUAUUUCUAAACUGUAUUUUGGGAUCCCAAGUAUUAAACUUUUAAGAUUUUCAAUGAAAUGAGUUUAUUUCUAAAGUUUA